rnacentral:misc_RNA from 1 species
GAUGAAGAACGUAGCGAAAUGCGAUAAGUAAUGUGAAUUGCAGAAUUCAGUGAAUCAUCGAAUCUUUGAACGCACAUUGCGCCCCUUGGUAUUCCGAGGGGCAUGCCUGUUCGAGCGUCAUUAUAACCCCUCAAGCUCGGCUUGGUGUUGGGGCCUGCCGCGCGGGCAGCCCUUAAAAUCAGUGGCGGUGCCAUCUGGCUCUAAGCGUAGUAAUUCUUCUCGCUAUAGAGUCCCGGUGGAUGCUUGCCAUUAACCCCCAAUUUCAAUGGUUGACCUCGGAUCAGGUAGGGAUACCCGCUGAACUUAAGCAUAUCAAUAAGCGGAGGA